CAGUGUAACAGUAUUGGACUGCUUUGGUUUUCCAUGUAGUUCCUACACUGAUCCUUUCUGUAACUGGAGUGUUGAAAAAUGUCUUCACACAGAAGUAAAAUGGACAAGUCAACUGCCAUUCUCUGGAGUUGUGAGUUGAACGCCCAGCAGAAGUCACACAAGGUUGAAAUUACAGAUGAUGAAGUUGCUGAGCAUCGACUGUCCUUAAAGACGAUAUGUUUGGGUGCUGGUGCCAAGGAUGAACUAACCAUUGUGGAGAUUGUUCCGGAAGACGAGAGCCCACCGGUCCCUAUUGCCACACUGAAGCUCUCCGUUUUGCCGAUGACCACAUUUUAUGGCAUUGAGCUGACCCCUCCCAUCAGCUUCAGGCUAAAAAGUGGAUCUGGUCCUGUCUACAUAGCAGUAGAGAACAUGAUCAUAGAUGAUGAUACAUGGGGGGAGGAAGAAGAGGAGGAAGGAGAGGAAGAGGAAGAGGAGGAGGUGGAUGAGGCUGAAGAUGAGGAUGAAUCUCCACCCAAAAAGACAAAGAGACCUGCAUCCACCAAGAAAGCUGGGCUUUCAAAGAAGAAGCGAUUGGACACAGAAAAGGAAGAAGAGGAAUCUGAUGUUUUAAUGGCAGUUAAAAAGGUUGGUCAUGUCUCAGUCUUCUGCCAUACUUUAAAAUUGUCAUAAAUGCUUUGUGAAACUGUGGGUUGUAAUAGUUUCUUUAAAAUGUUCCUGCAGGGAUCUCUUUGGAGCUAGAAAUUGUUUGGUUUGUUUUGCUUGCAAAAGUUGUCGAGGCUGAAGUUUCUUCCUAAACCAACAAAGCAACCUGAUAAUAUUUCAGUGGUGUCUGUACUGUUUUUGAACCUUGGCCUGUGAGGAACGUUUUGUUUAGCUGUCUGCGUGUGUACGGUUGAAUUUGAAUUUCCAAUUCUCCUAUCAGGAGAGCUUUGAUCACUUUGCUGUUUGGACUUGCUGAAGUUUUUACUGAAGUUUGGACUUAAUACCAAGUUUUCUAUUGGAAGUUCUCUUGUAGUAAAAAUAUUAGUGCAGAGCAUGAAUAAGCUGCACUUGCAAUGAAGAUUCAGUGAUUUUUCCCAUCACGGAAUGCCCUCGAGCUCAGUGACUUCCCUUGCCACGAGAGGGCAGUGGAGUCAAUCGCAAGAAGCGUCACAGCAGGGGCAGUUAUUGUCAGCUCCAUGAACUUAAACCCAUCUUCAAUUUAUUAAAAAUAUUAACAUUGUCAUUCAACUGUAUGCAUAUACCACUAAAUGAGGUUACGUUCAUCUGGACUAAGGAACACAACAGUACAUACAAUCACAUGAUGCAGUAAGUAACAUUACUACAAAUAAUUAGUGUUUUCCAGAAGAUUGAAAUUUAGCACAAGGUGUGUUUGUGACAAGUUUUAAAAAGUAAACAGUCUAACAUUUCUGGUGCUUCAUGCUUGAUGAGACCUGGGUGAUGUCUGAGUUCAGUGGUCUGAUAUAAUUUAAUAUUAAAUAUUAAUAAAUUUAAUCAUUGGCAGUUUAAAUCGCAUUGUGUUUAUAGACACAGGCACUUUCUCACUAAUGUUGGGUGAACUGGUCUGUACCUGGUUUAGAUUGACUACUUCCAGGAAUCAUUCUGUAAUCUGUCAGCCUCUGAAUUUUAUAAUCAUCUCACCUAUUUUCACUGUUUUCUAUUGUUCAUCUCGGUCUUGUAUCCAGAACUACUUGUAAUGCUCAAUGUCACUGCUAUCUGUGUGUCUCCAACUAAGUUAAUCAGGAUGGCAGGGUUGAGGGAUAAUCAUGAUGGAAUGACAGUACAAACUCGAUGGGCUGAACAAUCUAAUUCUGCUCCUAUGUCUUGUGAUCUAAAUAUCAUUUCAAUUUUUUUUAAGGAAAAAGAUUCCAGUAAAGUUAAAGCCGCAAAAAAACUAACUGCCUGUUAGGAGAAAUACUGAAAGGUAAGAUCUUUGGGGUUAAUCUGGCAGGUAAACUGUGUUCAAAGAAGAUGAGGUUGUGUGCAUUGAAGUGAACAGUGAAAUGUACUGUUCGCAUCAACGAUCAACACAGUCUAAGGACGUGCUGGGGGCAGCCCGCAAGUGUCACCAGGCUUUGGGCACCAACGUAGCAUGCCCACAACUUACUAACUCUAGCACACUUACCUUUGGAAUGUGGGAGGAAACCAGAGCACCUGGAGGAAACUUGCAUGGUCACACAGAACAUACAAACUCGUUACAGUGGCAGGAAUCGAACAUUGACUGCUGGCCAUGGGAAGUGUCACGCUAACUGCUACACUACUGUUGCCCCUCGGGCUGUUAGAAUGUCUGUCUGCAAUCGGAGUUGAGGUAGGAUAAGCUGUCACUGGAAGUUGAGGCUGCUGACUGAAAGUCCAGCUGGGUUUGAAAUCACUGCUGGGAAUGUAAUGCGAAAUGAUCUGAUGGGGCUUGGUAGCUUUCUCCAGUGCACCAUUAAGAGAUGCACUCUAAAUCCUGGGCCACAUUUCACCCUGGCAUUUCACCACUGCAGACUGGGAGAUCGUUUCGCCGAACACCGGCGCUCAGUCCUCCAGCAGUGGUGGGAUCUCCCUGUGGCCACACACUUCAAUUCCACAGACCACUCCCACUCCGACAUGUCUGUCCAUGGCCUCCUCUACCGUCAAGAUGAGGCCACACGCAGGUCGAUGGAGCAAUACCUUAUCUCCCGCCUAGGUAGUCUCCUACCUGCCAGCAUGAACAUUCAACUCGCAGACUUCUGAUACCCCUGCCCCCCUUACCCCCAUCCCUAUCUAUUAUUUUAGUCUGGUUCUCUUUCUCUCUUUUCCCCCCUCACUAUAAUCUCCCCCCCCCCCUCCAGCCCUACCUUUCUUUCUCUUUUAUUUCCCAUAAUUCUCCACCUUCCCCCUAGCCCAUUUCCCUCCAACCUAUCACUUCCUAGCUCUCUACUCCAUCCCUCUCCCCCCUCGACCAUCCCAUGUUACUUCACUCCUGAUGAAGGGUUUCGGCCCGAAACGUCGUCACUACCUCCUCCCAUAGAUUCUGUCUGGCCUGCUGAGUUCUGCCAGCAUUUUGUGUUUUUAUUUAUCUCCAGCAUCUGCAGAUUUACUCGUGUCACCCUGGCUUGCUAUUUGCUAUGUAUUGGUGAUCUUGCCACUGGAGUCCCUCAAAUCAAUCCCAGUCAAGUGUUGUUCUUGGAACCACCAUCCCACCACAGCUGGGAAGGUUGGCAAGGGAGACUUUCACUUUAAUACUGCAACUGGGCUGAUGAGUGACUGAGCCCACUCCAGGUCCUCGUUCCCUGCCUAAUGUCAUUCUAAGUGGGAGACUGAAUGACAUCUCUCCACAAACUUAUCCUGUCCUUGUAGAUGUUACAGCAUUCACUUCUCUACAGGAGAACCCUGAGCUAAGGUACAGUCCCUCACCUUACACCUUUGUCAUUGUUUAAAUUUUAAGUCUCAUAAUUUCAUUCGAAUUUGAUUAUAUCCUUGUGUAUACCAGGGGACUUAAUUUUAAAAAGCAAAUACAAGGAAAUCUGCAGAUGCUGGAAAUUCAAGUCACACACACAAAAUGCUGGUGGAACACAGCAGGCCAGGCAGCAUUUAGAGGGAGAAGCACUGUCGACGUUUCGGGCCGAGACCCUUCGUCAGGACUAACUGAAAGAAAAAAAAGAUAGUGACCCAAGGCCAGGUUUUCACAAGUCAUCUUUGCAAGGAUGUUGGAAGAGAAUAUAUUGAAAUAAAAUUGGACUUUGCUAAUUCUCACCCUAGUUGUUGCACAGAAAGCUAAUCAUGUUGCAGACAAAUGGAUAUCCAAGCCUUCACUGCUAUUAGAUGAUGGAAAAGUACUUAAAAUAU